AAACAGGGAGGAUCCAGAGAUGGGGAGAGAGGGCAGGGGCGGUGAGAGAGAGGCAGACCUGAUAACAAAAUUUGAGUUAUCUAGCUAUGCCCAAAGCAAGCAAUGUCCUCAGCCUUUUCAGUUAAGUGAGUUAACAUAUGUGUUCUCUCUCUCUCUCUCUCUCUCUCUCUCUCUGGCUCAAACCAGUUUAUUCGGG
rnacentral:miRNA from 1 species